AUGAGGGAGAAGCGCCUCUUUACGCUGUGGAAGCCAACCUACAACACCUUAUUUCUGGUUAUCCCUGGCUUUUGGACUCUCUGCACCCGCUCGUUCAGAAUUUCGUUCUCCACGAGCUUCACCUACACCCCCCGCCUCUACCGCUUGCUUGCUCGCUUCAACGGAGGACGUGUUGUCCGAACCGCCGGACGAGGAUUACCCGGCCCGUCGGAGCCAUCUCCAAAAAAGAAGCGACGUUCGCGCCAUCGGCGGGGCACCCCACAGCCGGCUGUCAGGACAUAUAAACAACCGGCAGUGGUGAGUGAGAGGGACACUGUUUCUGCUUUGUCGGAUACAAGGGCUAUUUAUUCUGGGGCUAUUUUUUGCAUUUCCACCUUAGAUACUAGUGUUUUUUCUGUUUCAUCUAUGGCUAAAGCUUCAAAGACUGUGUUUCUUGAGCCCAUGUCCUGUGUUAAUGACUGUGUCCACUCUGCUGCUGCCAAGCCUGGAAUUACUGAGCCUGGCAUUAUGAAUUCAGAGAAUGAAAACAUUUGGGACUCUUUUUCAUCUGCACUGGUCUUUUCAGGGGAAGCUGUAAACCUCACUGAAACAGUUCUUCCUGAUCAUGUUCUCACAUCCACACUUUCACCACAGUUUAACGUUGGGUCUGCAAUUCAGUUAGCUUUUCAGUCAGCAGGCCAGCUGCCCUCAGUUCAGUCAGCAGGCCAGCUGCCCUCAGUUCUGUUGGCCUCUCCACCACCUAUUACGCCUUCACUACAGUCGUCUCCGCUACCUGUAGGUCAAUCUGUAGCCGCUCCGCUGCCUAUAGCUCAGCUGCCACUUGUUCAUCUGUCUGCUCACUCACCCAUUCAGCCACCAUCCUCACUGUCUCAUUCUAAGCAGAGAACACACUUCACCACAACAUCUGCUGGUUCUCUUAAGCUGGCCACCUCAGAGACAGUUACUCCCUCUAGGGCCUCCCCAGAGGCUGGGUGUCACUCACCAGCCAACUCUGGACCCCUAGAGGCCAAGACGCCAGCGCCAGCAGCUCCCCCGGAGAACUCACCAGAACAGUCUCGGCUCUCAGCACCCCCUGAGAGUUCAAGUGAGUUCACCCAUCUGCCUCCGUCCUCUGAGUGCAUUGGGGAACACUUUCAGCCCUCUGAGGACUGCAUCCCACUGUUACUGCCUGAGUGUAGCCACUGUGCUGCUCAGUCCCAGCGAGUGUCCACACUGACAGAGGUCUGCGUACCUGCUGCUUCAGUGUCUGUCUCAGCUGGAGGGCCCGAGGAGCCCACCCAGCACCACACCUCGUUAGCUGAGGGUCCUGGAGGACCCAGACAGCACGUCCUCCCGUCUGCUGGCGGUCCAGGGAGGUCUGUUCAGCCGUCACCUGCUGAAUCAUCCCCUGCGACAUCUACAUCACCGCCUGCAUCAUCUCCUGCAACAUCAUCUCCUGCAGCAUCCAUAUCACCGCCCGCAGCCGUCCCGCUGCUGUCAGGUUCCGCCUCUGUGUCUUCAUCCACACCUGGUCCAGCUUCAGCUCCGCCUUCAGCUCCACCUUCACCUGGUCCAGCUUCUGCUCCGCCUUCGCCUGGCCCUGGCCCUGCUCCGCCUUUGCCUGGCCCUGCCUCGCCUGGCCCUGCGGUUGCCACACCGUCAUGGGACCCAGCUCGUCCUGUUCUGCCUUCACUGUUGCCGUGUGCACGGUCGGCCUCCAGACCUGUUUUUCCCGUCGCCACCGUUGCCAUGUGCACGGUCGGCCCCUGA
rnacentral:lncRNA from 1 species